GAUGAACGCUGGCGGCGUGCUUAACACAUGCAAGUCGAACGAAGCAUUUAAGACAGAUUACUUCGGUUUGAAGUCUUUUAUGACUGAGUGGCGGACGGGUGAGUAACGCGUGGGUAACCUGCCUCAUACAGGGGGAUAGCAGCUGGAAACGGCUGUUAAUACCGCAUAAGCGCACAGUACCACAUGGUACAGUGUGAAAAACUCCGGUGGUAUGAGAUGGACCCGCGUCUGAUUAGCUUGUUGGCGGGGUAACGGCCCACCAAGGCGACGAUCAGUAGCCGACCGGAGAGGGGGACCGGCAACAUUGGGACUGAGACACGGCCCAGACUCCUACGGGAGGAAGAAGUGGGGAAUAUUGAACAAUGGAGGAAACUCUGAGGCAGCGAAGCCGCGUGAGUGAAGAAGUAGUUCGCUAUGUAAAGCUCUAUCAGCAGGGAAGAUAGUGACGGUACCUUACUAAGAAGCACCGGCUAAAUACGUG
rnacentral:rRNA from 1 species